rnacentral:rRNA from 1 species
AUGCCGCGUGUAUGAAGAAGGCCUUCGGGUUGUAAAGUACUUUCAGUUGUGAGGAAGGGGGUGUCGUUAAUAGCGGCAUCUCUUGACGUUAGCAACAGAAGAAGCACCGGCUAACUCCGUGCCAGCAGCCGCGGUAAUACGGAGGGUGCGAGCGUUAAUCGGAAUUACUGGGCGUAAAGCGCAUGCAGGUGGUUCAUUAAGUCAGAUGUGAAAGCCCGGGGCUCAACCUCGGAACUGCAUUUGAAACUGGUGAACUAGAGUACUGUAGAGGGGGGUAGAAUUUCAGGUGUAGCGGUGAAAUGCGUAGAGAUCUGAAGGAAUACCAGUGGCGAAGGCGGCCCCCUGGACAGAUACUGACACUCAGAUGCGAAAGCGUGGGGAGCAAACAGGAUUAGAUACCCUGGUAGUCCACGCCGUAAACGAUGUCUACUUGGAGGUUGUGGCCUUGAGCCGUGGCUUUCGGAGCUAACGCGUUAAGUAGACCGCCUGGGGAGUACGGUCGCAAGAUUAAAACUCAAAUGAAUUGACGGGGGCCCGCACAAGCGGUGGAGCAUGUGGUUUAAUUCGAUGCAACGCGAAGAACCUUACCUACUCUUGACAUCCAGAGAAGCCAGCGGAGACGCAGGUGUGCCUUCGGGAGCUCUGAGACAGGUGCUGCAUGGCUGUCGUCAGCUCGUGUUGUGAAAUGUUGGGUUAAGUCCCGCAACGAGCGCAACCCUUAUCCUUGUUUGCCAGCGAGUAAUGUCGGGAACUCCAGGGAGACUGCCGGUGAUAAACCGGAGGAAGGUGGGGACGACGUCAAGUCAUCAUGGCCCUUACGAGUAGGGCUACACACGUGCUACAAUGGCGCAUACAGAGGGCAGCGAACUUGCGAGAGUGAGCGAAUCCCAAAAAGUGCGUCGUAGUCCGGAUUGGAGUCUGCAACUCGACUCCAUGAAGUCGGAAUCGCUAGUAAUCGUAGAUCAGAAUGCUACGGUGAAUACGUUCCCGGGCCUUGUACACACCGCCCGUCACACCAUGGGAGUGGGCUGCAAAAGAAGUGGGUAGUUUAACCUUCCGGAGGAGACUCUCCCCUUUGUGGUGUUGAGA